AGGUUCCUCUGUGUUCUCUCUCAUCACUCUCAUCUUCGACAGAAAUAUAUUUAGGGAACUACUUGUAAACAUGGUUGUUAUGUAUGUUGGAUAUCAUGGACCUGAAGGCUCUAAAGCCAUUGGACAAAGGGUUUAUAACAAAGUAAGCAUAUGGUUGGAUUAUGUUAUUACUUUAUAUUGCUAACUUGGUUUUUCAACUUUGAUUUUCUUACUUAUUUCAAAAGAAUCCCAACUGAUUCAACUUAAUGAUCGAUUUCAUCUUCUAUUUUUCUUGGGCUCAAUGAGAUGUAUUGUAAUGGGGGUUCUUAGUCCUUAAGAUGUUGUUCAGUCUUUUUCCCUUUGAUUUCACUAUUGGGUCAUAUGAACUAGAACUGCUUAGAUACAAUAACCUUUUCAUGUACAUAAAUGGUGUGAAGCUUGUGUUCUGCUUGAUGGAUUCAAUUGAGGUUUGCCUAAACUGGGAAUUCGACAGAGUCGGGUUGAAGUUGAUUGCAAGAAAGAAAAUGAAAUCAAUGGAAGAAAAAGCAUUGAGAGCAAACAAUAUGGAUUGUUAGACUUUUGUUUUUCUGUGUAGGCGUCAUUAUAAAUCAAUGGAUUCUAAUGAUAAUCAAAGGAUGCACUACAUUGACCAUGGCAUCAUAUAUUACCAGGUGAUUCUUCAAUGGUAUCUACUAGAUGUGACAAUACUUCACAGCUGGAUAUGGCUAUGUGGCAUAAAUAUUUAGCUUUUACCAAUGUUCACAUUUAUAGAAAAUCACAAAAUGAAUACAUCUUGUCUUACUGUCAUAUAGGUUUUGAGAUUUCAACUAACAUUUUAUGUCUGAGUCA